UGAAUUCUCAUACAACCUCUAUUUUGAAUAAUACAAUAGCUUUUUUGAUUUUAGAAAGAAGAAGUUAUAUAAUACAAUCGGACCUUACUAAUCUUUUUUUUUUCUUACAGUUUACAUUAUUCAAUACAAAUAUACAAUUAAAAUAUGAUUCCACAUUUCCACUUUCCCUAGUUCCUGCUAAUGCUUCGCUGUUGAUCAAAUGAAAAGGCUGUACACAUAUAUACUAAAUAUAUUAAGCCUUCUUCUUUCUUCUUCUGCUCCUGAGAAGGAAGGUAACUUAUAAAAAUUAGGAAACUGCUAAAAAUUAGGAUCCAUCAGCCCGUUUACAUAUUUGGCUAUUCUUAUUUACUUGUUUUAAGCAUCCUUUUUCACAUUCUGGCCCAAAACCUAAUCCCAAUAUAUAAAAGAGAUUGAACUAGAACUCUCAAUCUGUCCGCAUCAUCAAAAAAUUCACAGCUAAUCAAAAUGACACAUCAAUCUUCAUUCGCCAUGCCAUCUCCUAAACUAGACGUAAAAGAGUUUCAUACCUAACUUUUUCUUUUUCACCGUAGAAAUCCAAUAUGUAGCCAAAGUAAUUUUUUUGCCUUCCCUUUUCCAAGUAUCUCUUCCUCUUCCUCAGAAACGCCAACCUUUAUGUUAGUAUAACUCUUUCUCCAGUGUUAUUCUUCAAAACUCUCUUUAUUUCAUAACCCUCCAAUGGCGAGGACCGUUUAAAUUCUCCCAUCUUCACCAUCUAUGUAUCUGACGCCUAUUGAACCCUGACUUGAACCACUCAUUCGCUUUCUCACAAGUAAACCUUCUUUUAGAGGGAUGUGAGCUACUGCAUCGAAUAGCGCAUUUUUAUUAAUCAGGGUGUUGGCUUACGCACACCAGCCUUACAAAAGAAGUGAUCAAAUCACUUACCACUCAAGUAAUUUCAAAGCUAAAAAAAUAGUAAGUGAUUUCGUAUAAUAUAUGCUUAGUUGGUUGAAACUUGAAAGUCACUCAUGUCCCGUUGCGUGUUCACACCGUCAACUUCAUAAGGGGAUCUGAUAUGAAAACUGAGCAUUUUGUUGUUGUGAGGUUACUCAGUUGGUUGGAUCAAUAUUUUGUUCGGCCACUGGAGAAAUGCUACACUAUUCAAGAAGAAUGCCGGUUGCUUGAGAUUACAUAGUUUACUUCUAACAUUUGCUAAUCUUUGUUUCUGAAAAUCCCGUCUAUUGAAUUUGGCUGGAGUGUUACACCCUUUUGAAUGAUAAAACUAUAUAUUAAAAGCAGAUGAAUGAAUUCAGGGCACCGCAAAUUUACUCUGAAGCUGACACGCCGAGGAACCUACAAGCAAUACUUGCAAGGGGACUGAAAAUCAAGUGCACUAAAAUGCAAUCUGAAUGGGGAUGCCUUAGUCUGCUAUGUCAAGUCUUGCCGAUGGGAUUAUGAAGACUUUCUUCUGCUUUAUCUGGCUCAUUCUUCAAUCAAAUUUCCCAAACAAGAAAAUUGGACAUCGCGCAUCCAGUGAUGAGUCUUUACCAAAAUUGUAUCAAAUCUCUUUUUCCAAUAACAAUUUGAUAUAAGACUUACAGUAUGGAUGUAUCAUUACUACUGAGAUUUGUUCUCUGGAUAAGUCACUGGAUAUCACAAAAGAUCUUAUUCUCUGUGGAUAUGCACUCUCACAGAGUGAUAAGUGCCUGAUUGAAAUUCAGUGCGACCAUAUCAAGGGAUGAAAGCAAGUCUCGAAGCUUCUCAAAACCUAUUUGAUGAAGAACCAUUUGAGAUUCAUGUCACCACUCAAGGAUUUCACAAUGGACCAAAAGCUGCAAACCUCAAAGCAUCAACUAAUAACUUGGCCUCAAAUGAUCAAUUAACAGAGUGUAUGGCUUCAUCAUCGAGCUUCAUAUCAUGUUGAACCAUGCAAGUUAAAAACCAGAUCCGCACGUGUCUUACCAAUUUUUUUUUUCGUGUCUUACCAAUUAUAUUGAGAAGAAAUUUUAAAUUCGUGUUUUGUUUGUGGACUUGUAGAUAGCUGUCGGAGUUUAAGUUGAUAUAAUGCUUGGCAUGAAUGAUCCAGCUUACUUCGCAUUACAUCAGCAGGCCGAGGAACCCGGCUACCUGUUACCGGCAGCGGUAAGACUCACGAAGAAAGGAGCGAACUGCAGCGGCGGUAUUACUAGAGCAGAUGUAUGCGUCAUCAUUUUGGAGAAUUUCGUACUAACAAAGUCCUCACUAGGAGUGGGCGUUUGGAUACCCGUUCGGGUUCGGAUAGGGUAUUUUGGAUUUUCGGGUACUUCGGUAUAGGGAUAUACUAUAUAGAAUUCGUUCGGGUAUUUCUGUAUUUUGGGUCGGGUUUGGUUAUUUUUAGUUCGGGUUCGGUUAUUUAGGAUCGGGUUUGGAUAUUUAGAUUUUAAAAGAUUUUUUUUUUCAUUUUUAAGUUUCUUGUAUUUAAAAAUAUAAAUUUCACUUAACUGAUUCUUCUAUUUUUUAUAGAUUGAAUGAUUAAUAGAUUUGGAGAUAACAUUUGAAAAAAUAUAUAUUAAUUUGGC